rnacentral:rRNA from 1 species
AGGCCAUACCACCUUGAACGCUCCCGAUCUCGUCUUACCUCAGAAGCUAAGCAGGGUCGGGCCUGGUUAAUACUUGGAUGGGAGAAGUGCAGAAUUUUAGUUCCCCAGCCUC